rnacentral:rRNA from 1 species
AUGCUUCCAAGUGGUGGAGAUGAUGCUCAUGAUAUUCCAUUGAGUAGUGGGUGCAAUGUUGGUACCAAAGUUCCUGAUGAGGAUGCUGGUGCCGCCAGCAUACUUGAUGCCAAAUCGCCUGGUGUUGGUAUUACUGGGAAUGAAAAUGUUUCUGGUUGUGAAGAUUUGCCGCCGGAGAAUUUCCCGCCUGGAGGUGUUGAUUACGGUGAUGCAUUGCAAUAUGCUUCUAGCGUGGUGGAGGUGCCAUCCGAGGAUGAUGAUUUACUUCUGUCAAUUUCUUCUGACCCCUUGACGCAGGAGGCGCUCUUGUCGUCCCAGGAUUUUCUUUCUACAGACCCUGAAAGCGCAUCAAUAUUGGUGUCCUCUCAAGAUGUCCCAUCAUCAAACCCUGAAACUGGAGGCAUAAUGGUCUCAUCACAGGAACUACCGUCGUCGUCAAACCCUCAUAGUCCAGUUGUUGAACUUAUUAUUUUUCAUCAUUUUCUGCAAGCAGAAAGUGGUAAUGUUGUUAAGAAGUACCGAGACACUGACAAGUUGAUAGUUCCCAGAUGGGUGACGACCAAGAUCCGUGAUGGAAAUAUUGAUUCCAAUGUGCUAAAUUGGUUCACAAGAUCAGGUGCUGAUGGUUUUGACCAAUUUUGGGAGCUUCUUUUCCCUACAUUUGAUCCGCCGUCAUUUGUGGCUACCAUGAAGCCUAGUGAAGUAUCUGGGCAUUGGUGCUUGGUUGUUCUGAAUUUGAAGUUCCGUCGUUUCGAGUGUCUUGAUUCACUCCGUGAUGAAACCUGGGGUGAUGCAGUUAGAUUUUUAAGGAAUAUGACAGAUAAUAUAAAGAAGCUUUGGAGGGAGUCUAGUGUAGACAGGGCCAAACCGUUCUCACUGAUGCAUAUUGAUGGUUUCUCUUGCGAGUUUGUGCGGACCUAUUAUUGCCGGGAGGAUGGUGUAAUUGAAAUGGCCGAUUACAGCCAUGAAGACAUUUUGGACAUUAGGAAGACUUUGCUGUAUACCUGCGCAACUAGCGAUGUGUUUGAUGUUGACUUCCGGGGUGAGUGGCUGGAUCUUGGUGAGGCUGACUACAGGUUCUUUGGUAGCCAGUUCUUGGAGCUUGAGCGCAUAGCUAUUGAUCUUAGCCAGGGGCGUUCUCUCGAAAAGACAAGAUAUGGUGUUAUGAAGGGGCGGUUGGGAGCUCUGAGAGGUUUUACGGCUGCUUGUGCAGAUAGCCCUACUACACCCAAGAAUCCCAUUGUGGAAUUGAUAGAGAGUGAUGAUGAUGUGUUUGACAAGAUUGCUGGCGUUGGAAGAGUCACGAGAAGCGCUGCUGCCAAAGGUUUAUCUCCCCUUUGCUGGAAUAGUGGCUCGUAG